AGACCCACCUAGAGGAGCCUGUUCUAUAACCGAUAACCCCCGUUAAACCUCACCACUUCUUGUUUAUCCCGCCUAUAUACCGCCGUCGUCAGCUUACCCUGUGAAGGCCUAACAGUAAGCAAAAUGGGCCCGCCCAAAAACGUCAGGUCGAGGUGUAGCGUACGAAGUGGGAAGAAAUGGGCUACAUUUUCUAUACCUAGAAUAUUACGAAUGGCACCAUGAAAAUAAUGCCUGAAGGUGGAUUUAGUAGUAAAAAGCAAAUAGAGUGUCCUUUUGAAUUAGGCUCUGAGACGCGC
rnacentral:rRNA from 1 species